AGGAGGUGCUGAGUAUAUCCCUCAUGGCAGGCCUUCAAACAAAAAGCUGGAAGAUACUUGGCAGACAAUGAAUGACAAACAACAAGUGUUCAUGGACUGACUGCACAGUAUGCAGAUUAUUUAAUCUCCAGAUAGGAAUUUGGGCAAGAGGAAUAUAUAGAGGAAGAAAAAGGAAGGAAGGGUGAGGCAAGAGAAGAAAAGUGAAAUCGGAUUAUUGGUGACUUGAUCAAGAUCACUUAAUUAACAUUUACUAGAAGAGGAAAAGGAGGAGAAGGAAAAGGAGAAAAGGCAGGAAAAUGAGGAGGACGACAAGGAGAAGGACCAAGAAGAAGUGGUAGACAAUUACAGGAGAGAGAAGAAAUAAGAGAAGAAGGCGGCAAAGAAGAAACUAAGACUGUGACUAUUAAAUCUGUUUCAUAGCAUAAACUAGUAGUAAUGUGCAUGAUUCUUAAAUUUUUGGAAAAUAAUGAUACUAUGUACUUAGGCACCUAGUUACCAUCAUUCUAAUAUUUUAGUUCCUAACUUUUAGUUAAAAGAAUCAGAAUAAGUGUUAAGACUUUAAAGCACAGGAAAAAAGUCA